rnacentral:rRNA from 1 species
GAUGAACGCUGGCGGCGUGCUUAACACAUGCAAGUCGAACGAAGCGCCUUGAUUUGAUUCUUCGGAUGAAGAUCUUGGUGACUGAGUGGCGGACGGGUGAGUAACGCGUGGGUAACCUGCCUCAUACAGGGGGAUAACAGUUAGAAAUGACUGCUAAUACCGCAUAAGACCACAGCACCGCAUGGUGCAGGGGUAAAAACUCCGGUGGUAUGAGAUGGACCCGCGUCUGAUUAGGUGGUUGGUGGGGUAACGGCCUACCAAGCCGACGAUCAGUAGCCGACCUGAGAGGGUGACCGGCCACAUUGGGACUGAGACACGGCCCAAACUCCUACGGGAGGCAGCAGUGGGGAAUAUUGCACAAUGGGGGAAACCCUGAUGCAGCGACGCCGCGUGAGCGAUGAAGUAUUUCGGUAUGUAAAGCUCUAUCAGCAGGGAAGAAAAUGACGG